rnacentral:rRNA from 1 species
AUGUUAUAUAUGCCAAGUUCCUUAAGCAUAGACUUCACCCAAAUAAUUUCUGCUGUUGCAUUGGCAAGUGCUUUGUAUUCUGCUUCAGUACUAGAUCUGGAAACUGUGGCUUGUUUCUUUGCACACCAAGAAAUCAAGUUGGGACCAAAGAACACUGCAAAGCCAUCAGUUGAUCUUCUAUCAUCCAAGCAACCUACCCAGUCAGAAUCAGAGAAGGCACUAACAAGAGGGGAUGGUGACUUACUGAAGGUUAGACCAACACAUAUCUCAGUAUACGUUUGGCUGCCGUCCAAUGAGCAGUGGUUGGUGCAUGAAGAUACUGACAAACCUUGUUUACUGCAAAGGAGAUAUCAGGUCUGGUGA